UGCCACACUGCUGUGUUUAACUUGAG
rnacentral:piRNA from 1 species